AUGUGACAUUUUUCCUCUCAAACUAACCCCUCCACAGACACACCCACACACACACCACACACACAUGCAUGCGUGCACACACAGACACACACGCACAUACACACCACAUACACGCACACAAGGCACAUACACACACGCACACACACAUGCACACACACACACAUGCACACACAUGCGUGCAUGCACACUCUUCAGUCACAGCUCCCAGACAGUGGUGGCAUCAUCCUCUCA
rnacentral:lncRNA from 1 species